rnacentral:rRNA from 1 species
CGUAAACAACCUGCCUUCAGGAUGGGGACAACAGACGGAAACGACUGCUAAUGCCGAAUAAGUUCCAAGAGCCGCAUGGCCCAUGGAAGAAAAGGUGGCCUCUACCUGUAAGCUAUCGCCUGAAGAGGGGUUUGCGUCUGAUUAGCUGGUUGGAGGGGUAACGGCCCACCAAGGCGACGAUCAGUAGCCGGUCUGAGAGGAUGAACGGCCACACUGGAACUGAGACACGGUCCAG